GGGGUAACAGACUGAGCGAUGGCUGCACUGAUGAUCUGGUCUCCGCUCUCAGUACAAACCGCUCACUGAGGAUCCUGGACCUGAGGUCUAACUCCUUCACAGACGGCUCUGUACCCGCUCUCCGCCGCCUCAUAGAGACCUGCACCAGUCUGGAGGAGAUCAGGCUGUGGGGGAAUAGGUUCAGUUCAGACGGACGGAAUCAGCUGAGGUCACUGCGGGGAAUCAGAGCUGAGCUCUCAGUGAGCUUUUCCUUCUUUGGCUGAGGCAUUGACUGCCCACACAGUCUGUGUAAGAUGGAAUAUAUUCUGGACACUCUAGUGACUGAUUAUUAAAGAUGUUAAUCCUGAA